rnacentral:rRNA from 1 species
UACGAGGGGGGCGAGCGUUGUUCGGAAUUAUUGGGCGUAAAGGGUGCGUAGGCGGUUUGGUAAGUCUUGUGUGAAAUCUACAGGCUCAACUUGUAGUCUGCACGAGAAACUGCCGGGCUUGAGUGUGGGAGAGGUGAGUGGAAUUCCUGGUGUAGCGGUGAAAUGCGUAGAUAUCAGGAGGAACACCGGUGGCGAAGGCGGGUCUCUGGGCCAUUACUGACGCUGAGGAGCGAAAGCGUGGGGAGCGAACAGG